rnacentral:rRNA from 1 species
AUGCACGCUGGCGGCGUGCCUAAUACCUGCAAGUCGCGCGAACGGACGAGAAGCUUGCUUCUCUGAUGUUAGCGGCGGACGGGUGAGUAACACGUGGAUAACCUACCUAUAAGACUGGGAUAACUUCGGGAAACCGUAGCUAAUACCGGAUAAUAUUUUGAACCGCAUGGUUCAAAAGUGAAAGACGGUCUUGCUGUCACUUAUAGAUGGAUCCGCGCUGCAUUAGCUAGUUGGUAAGGUAACGGCUUACCAAGGCAACGAUGCAUAGCCGACCUGAGAGGGUGAUCGGCCACACUGGAACUGAGACACGGUCCAGACUCCUACGGGAGGCAGCAGUAGGGAAUCUUCCGCAAUGGGCGAAAGCCUGACGGAGCAACGCCGCGUGAGUGAUGAAGGUCUUCGGAUCGUAAAACUCUGUUAUUAGGGAAGAACAUAUGUGUAAGUAACUGUGCACAUCUUGACGGUACCUAAUCAGAAAGCCACGGCUAACUACGUG